UACGGGGGGGGUAAGCGUUGUCCGGAAUUAUUGGGCGUAAAGAGCUCGUAGGCGGUUUGUCGCGUCUGCUGUGAAAUCCCGAGGCUCAACCUCGGGCCUGCAGUGGGUACGGGCAGACUGGAGUGCGGUAGGGGAGAAUGGAAUUCCUGGUGUAGCGGUGGAAUGCGCAGAUAUCAGGAGGAACACCGAUGGCGAAGGCGGCUCACUGGCCCGAUACUGACGCUGAGGCACGAAAGCGUGGGGAGCAAACAGG
rnacentral:rRNA from 1 species